GAAGAUCGAACAAGCAUGCUGCUAAGCACACAUAGGCAUCACCCUUAUAUUCCUGCCUUGCGAAUAACAAUGUGUAGCACUAGUUUGCCGGUGUUUGAUAAAAGCAACUGAACAACGUACCGUUGCAUUAUCUGCAUGUUCGUUUACGCAUGUGCUGUAUUCAGUAUUAAAAGUUCAUGGAACCCACAGUAUCUGCAGGUUGGUACAUCACACAAAGUAAUGCUGUGGAUUACAGUUCAUAAUAUUUCCAUUAGUUCCUCAUUUAUACGCGCACCCACCCCUUACAUUGACACUCUUGCAUUGCACUGGUAAUAUAAACUGAAUAUGAUCAUGGAAAAGAACAUGCAUGCAAGAUAGACCAUGGCAUCGGUUGUGGUGAAGAUGUCGGCAAAAUCAUAGGAGUUCGAGGAGCCAGGAAGAUCAUGCACACACGGCUCUGCAAUCGCAUUUACAUAUCUCUCAGCUGUUGUCCCUGGUAAUGGAAACUCUCUGCCCUCUCCUGUUUUUGUCGGAUAUUUGGUGUCGCUCAAGAAUUAUGAGGUUUUGGACCUCCAUUUCUACAAUAAAAAAGAUAAAACUUGAGGUUUUUGGGUCCUGUUUGCGUCAAAUAAUCCAGUACAAUGGCGUGUUUAUCCGGCGGAAGGUGGAUAACAUAGUGGCACGAGAGGAAAUAGUACGUUACAAAUUCUCUUAGAUAAACAGGUCACUGUAACUUGUACCAAAUAUCAUUAUGUCUGAUAGCAUUAAUCUGUUCAAGUAUAUUUCUUUUUUUCUUAUCAGUGGAUAAAAUCUUAAUGUUUUGUGCCAUAUGAAAUACAUACUUAAAACGCUAUAACAUGUUACACAUUACACUGAAAAAAGGUGCCAAGAUUGAAACAAAGCAUGCUGCUACGCACUAGUCAGCCUGUGUUUGACAAAGCAACGACUGAAACAACAAAGUGGGACGCUAUCUGCAUACUUGUGUUUUAUUAGGUACGAAAACUAAAUAGGAUCCAUAAUGACACGUCUGUACAUCACAUUGGUAAUGCAGUGGCUUGUAGUUCACACAUGUUCUUCGAUUAGUUUCCCAUUUAUAUGCACACACAACCGUCUCUUCACC
rnacentral:lncRNA from 1 species